rnacentral:misc_RNA from 1 species
GAUGAAGAACGUAGCGAAAUGCGAUACUUGGUGUGAAUUGCAGAAUCCCGUGAACCAUCGAGUCUUUGAACGCAAGUUGCGCCCGAAGCCUCGGCUAAGGGCACGUCUGCCUGGGCGUCACGCAUCGCGUCUCCCCCAAACCGCCAAGGCGGAGGGGAAGGAAGAUGGCUUCCCGUGCCUCACCCGGGCGCGGUUGGCCUAAAUUUGGAGCCCGCGGCACUUAGCUCUCGCGGCGAUAGGUGGUGAACAAGGCCUUGGCCGUGCAAACAACCCGCUGCGAAGCUCUAUGUCACGUGCGCUCGUCGGACCCUUUGAAGUUGCCUUUGGUGACUUAAAACCUUUGCGACCCCAGGUCAGGCGGGGCUACCCGCUGAAUUUAAGCAUAUCAAUAAGCGAGGA